UAAUUAACAAGAACAUGUCUUAACCUCUCCUCUCUUAAUCAACUCAGUUAACUUCUCCCUCCGUCAUGCCAGAGGCCUCUCCGGCGGAAGAGCCACCACAAAACAACAAUUAAAGACCAUCAUUCCAUCCAGUUUUGUGCCCUGAGUCCAAAUAUGCUCAUGAAACUUUCUAAAUGUUCUUGAGUUAUGCAAAUCAAAGGGAAACGGGGAUGAACCCUAAUUAAUCAAACCUAAAUUAAAUGGCGCAUGUUCAUGGAUUCGGGCUCAAACAUUAGGGCUAUUGAUGCAAAAAAUGCACUCUACACGACGGUAACCAUUUCAUGGCAAACAGAAGAGAAAUAAUAUUUACCUCGGAAAUAGAGGUUUGUUUCGACGAAGAUUGAAACGGAGAAGAAGGAGGCGCAACGGAAAAUCACUUGAAAAAUAGGUGAAGCUUCAAUGGAGUUCUGAGAUAAAGCUUUGAGUGAUAAAGAGGAUUGAGAUCGAGAUAAACAGAGUGAAAUUCGAAAAUCUGGAAAUGUGAAAAUGGCGCGUGAUCUCUGAAUGAGUUGAUUUAUAGCAUUUGAAAUUCUGUUAUGAGAUGCAACUCAAAUUGCAUUCAAAUUCACUUGAAAUUCAAAGUCAGUUGCAAAUGAGAAAAACUGUUAGCAUGUUAGUUAUGAAAUUCAAUUCAGUUGGUUUGUUGUUCUUAGUUCUGCAGUAGGGCAAAGUUUCUGAGUGAAGGGCUUCAUUUGCACAUGGUAUGCUAUUAUGCAGGUCAUGAUCUGCUUGUAUAUGUUUUGGCUGCAAGGUGUUUCAAUUGCUCAAGCUAUUUGGAUGUAGAUAUAGGGAUAUGUGAGUGAGACAUAUUAGUUAGAGUGUGUUGGAUUGUGGAUGCGUUAGAUUAAUAGAACUCAGAACUUGUUUAUUGGUUUUGGUAAAAUUAUAAUGGAAUGUAAUGAAUGUUUAUGAGGGUUGAUUUUAUGUAAGUGAAUGGUGUAUGGAAUUGAAUUGAACUUGUUAAUUGAAUGAAUGAGAUUGUAUGAA